UACGUAGGGGGCUAGCGUUGUCCGGAAUCAUUGGGCGUAAAGCGCGUGUAGGCGGUUCGAUAAGUCUGCUGUGAAAGUCCAGGGCUCAACCCUGGGAUGCCGGUGGAUACUGUCGAGCUAGAGUACGGAAGAGGCGAGUGGAAUUCCCGGUGUAGCGGUGAAAUGCGCAGAUAUCGGGAGGAACACCAGUAGCGAAGGCGGCUCGCUGGGCCAUACCUGACGCUGAGACGCGAAAGCGUGGGGAGCAAACAGG
rnacentral:rRNA from 1 species